rnacentral:rRNA from 1 species
UAGGGAAUCUUCGGCAAUGGACGAAAGUCUGACCGAGCAACGCCGCGUGGGUGAAGAAGGUUUUCGGAUCGUAAAACUCUGUUGUUAGAGAAGAACAAGGACGUUAGUAACUGAACGUCCCCUGACGGUAUCUAACCAGAAAGCCACGGCUAACUACGUGCCAGCAGCCGCGGUAAUACGUAGGUGGCAAGCGUUGUCCGGAUUUAUUGGGCGUAAAGCGAGCGCAGGCGGUUUCUUAAGUCUGAUGUGAAAGCCCCCGGCUCAACCGGGGAGGGUCAUUGGAAACUGGGAGACUUGAGUGCAGAAGAGGAGAGUGGAAUUCCAUGUGUAGCGGUGAAAUGCGUAGAUAUAUGGAGGAACACCAGUGGCGAAGGCGGCUCUCCGGUCUGUAACUGACGCUGAGGCUCGAAAGCGUGGGGAGCAAACAGG